rnacentral:rRNA from 1 species
CUAAUACAUGCAAGUCGAGCGCGGGAAGCAGAAGGAUUCCUUCGGGAUGACAUCUGUGGAACGAGCGGCGGAUGGGUGAGUAACACGUGGGCAACCUGCCUGUAAGCUCGGGAUAACUAGCGGAAACGCUAGCUAAUACCGAAUAACGCUGCGCACCGCAUGGCGCGCAGAUGAAAGGCGGCGCAAGCUGCCACUUACAGAUGGGCCCGCGGCGCAUUAGCUAGUUGGUGGGGUAACGGCCUACCAAGGCGACGAUGCGUAGCCGACCUGAGAGGGUGAUCGGCCACACUGGGACUGAGACACGGCCCAGACUCCUACGGGAGGCAGCAGUAGGGAAUAUUCCGCAAUGGGCGAAAGCCUGACGGAGCGACGCCGCGUGAGCGAUGAAGGUCUUCGGAUCGUAAAGCUCUGUUGUUAGGGAAGAACAAGUACCGGAGUAACUGCCGGUACCUUGACGGUACCUAACCAGAAAGCCCCGGCUAACUACGUGCCAGCAGCCGCGGUAAUACGUAGGGGGCGAGCGUUGUCCGGAAUUAUUGGGCGUAAAGGGCGCGUAGGCGGUCUCUUAAGUCUGAUGUGAAAGCCCCCGGCUUAACCGGGGAGGGUCAUUGGAAACUGGGAGACUUGAGUGCAGGAGAGGGAAGCGGAAUUCCAUGUGUAGCGGUGAAAUGCGUAGAGAUAUGGAGGAACACCAGUGGCGAAGGCGG